CAUAUCAAUAAGCGGAGGAAAAGAAACCAACAGGGAUUGCCUUAGUAACGGCGAGUGAAGCGGCAACAGCUCAAAUUUGAAAUCUGGUCCCCUUUGGGGGCCCGAGUUGUAAUUUGAAGAGGAUGCUUUUGGCGAGGCGCCGUCCGAGUUCCCUGGAACGGGACGCCGCAGAGGGUGAGAGCCCCGUACGGUCGGACGCCGAGCCUCUGUAAAGCUCCUUCGACGAGUCGAGUAGUUUGGGAAUGCUGCUCAAAAUGGGAGGUAAACCCCUUCUAAAGCUAAAUACUGGCCAGAGACCGAUAGCGCACAAGUAGAGUGAUCGAAAGAUGAAAAGCACUUUGAAAAGAGAGUUAAAAAGCACGUGAAAUUGUUAAAAGGGAAGCGCUUGCGACCAGACUUGCGCCCGUCGGAUCAACCGUCGCUUGCGGCGGCGCACUCCGGCGGGCUCAGGCCAGCAUCAGUUCGUCCGGGGGGAGAAAGGCGGCGGGAAUGUGGCUCUUCGGAGUGUUAUAGCCCGCCGUGUAAUACCCUCGGGUGGACUGAGGACCGCGCGUAUGCAAGGAUGCUGGCGUAAUGGUCGUCAGCGAC
rnacentral:rRNA from 1 species